UACGAAGGGGGCUAGCGUUGUUCGGAAUUACUGGGCGUAAAGCGUGCGCAGGCGGUUAUGUAAGACAGUUGUGAAAUCCCCGGGCUCAACCUGGGAACUGCAUCUGUGACUGCAUAGCUAGAGUACGGUAGAGGGGGAUGGAAUUCCGCGUGUAGCAGUGAAAUGCGUAGAUAUGCGGAGGAACACCGAUGGCGAAGGCAAUCCCCUGGACCUGUACUGACGCUCAUGCACGAAAGUGUGGGGAUCAAACAGG
rnacentral:rRNA from 1 species